GCUGCUACUUUAGCGAGUGUUUCACUUCAACACAGAUUGAUGCAAGAAAGAAAGAAUUCUUUUGCAAUAAAGCAAGCAUUGAGUGCCCAAAGCAGGAGAGCUUGAAUUUUUUGCCGACGUAAAUUUAAGGUCGUCACACAUUACAGAAAACUAUUUUCCAUUCUGUGUCUCUAUGCUCAUUUUGUGCCCGGGUGCAGCUGUGAAGGAACACUACAGGUAGAGAAGAAAGAAAGGAAGAAUGAUGGUAAGAACCACUGAGAUACCGAGUCCGGCCAGCCAGAUGAGUAUCAGGAGUGUUUCUUCAUUGGAAGUGAUGACAAAAAUUGUCCUUUAGAGUAUAUUAGUUGUUUAAUCAUCAAUGAGUAGACUAACGCAUACAUUUUUUUUGGACUGCACCCAUAUAGUUUGUCUUUGCUGAAUAUACUAUAUUUACUUCAUUUCUCUAUUGAGUUAGCAAUGGCAAUAUGAUUGAUUUAUAUACUAUAUAAUUUGCACCCAUAUAAUGAUCAAUUAACCAUGUUUCUCUAUAUAAUUUGUCUUUGCUGAAUAUACUAUAUUUGUUUGGUCUGCACCCAUAUAAUGAUCAAUUAACUCCUGAAAAUACCCUUUCCAGACAUAAUUUCUUUUCAUCAUUGUUAAGGCUGAUUUUACCUAUUUCACUUAAAUGGCGACCUCCCUGCACUCCCAUUUUUCUGCUUAGGAUUCUCAUUUAAUUGGUGAGCACUCAGAUUUGGAAUAUCAGCUCUUUAGUACUGGUUUAUCAUUUUAAGAAAAUAGGAGCAAUGUGAUUUUGUUCUCUAGAGACUAGAAUUGAAUAGUUAGUCCUUUUAGUACUAUCCUACUACCAUUUGUAGCUAACAGAUGCAUCAGUUCGACUAGGCAUUAUCAUGUAUUGUACCGUAGUAUCUUUUUUGCAUAGAGUAAAUACCUACUUCUGCUGCAGGUUACUUUUCUUUAUAAAAUUUGGUUCAGGAUGCCGUUUUACCUGUUGUAAUACCUUCAGCAUAGAAGCAGUAGUGGUCUGCUCCUCCAAAGAUCUAUAGCUUGUGGAUGCGGCGGAUGUGGCACAGGGAGCAGAUGAAUUGGGAAUAAGAGGACCCCCGGCGCGCGCACAAAUUGUUUCUACCUGACGGCUGAUAGUGAGGAUGCCUCUGACCUGUCCCGAGAAGGUUCGAGCCGAAGUACGACUUGUACAACGCAUCACCAAUUCGUCCGACAGUGUAAAAUGCGUUUGUGUUAGCUGAGUGAAAAUUAGAGAUCAGCCUGGUGGUACUUUAUUAUUUUAUUCUAUAGCUUGAUCUGCCAAAUGCUAUUAAGGAAAUGAAGUUUCUUCCUCGAUCAAGUUAUCAAUCCUUAUUGGGUGUAUGCUUCCUACUCAACACCUGAAUAAUCAAUUUGUACAUGCUCAUAUAUAUUAAUAUGCUAUUUUGUUGGUGCAUAAGAAAUAAUACAUGCAUGUGUAAUCUACAAUUUCAGUGAGCUAAAACCCU